rnacentral:lncRNA from 1 species
AACCCAAUAGAUGUAAUCAAUUCCAAUGAAUCUUCCAGUCUAUUUUCUUCAUAAACACCUAAAAUCCCCUCAUCAUUUUGUAAUGUACCUAACUUGCAUAAUUCUCUUUCAAUAUUAUAUAAUCUUCUUCUUUCUUUUCUUUUAAAAUCAUCAACUUUCUUAUACAUUAUAUUUCCAUUUUCAAAUAUACCAAUAAAACUCGCAUCAAAGGCACCUUCAUCUCACGAGAGUACCUCCUCUUUUGUACCUCCAUAAUC